rnacentral:rRNA from 1 species
CGCCUSUUGCUAAAAUAUAAGAGGUCCCGCCUGCCCCGUGAUCUAAUUUAACGGCCGCGGUAUCUUGACCGUGCAAAGGUAGCAUAAUCAAUUGUUCUUUAAAUAAGGACUAGUAUGAAUGGCAUUACGAGGGUUUAACUGUCUCCCUAUUUUAAUCAAUGAAAUUGAUCUUCCCGUGAAGAAGCGGGAAUAUAAUUAUAAGACGAAAAGACCCCAUGGAGCUUUAAACUUAUUUUCAAUUACCAAAAUCCAAAACAUAUACCUGGUAAAAAUGACAAUCGUUUUCGGUUGGGGCGACCCUGGAGAAAAAUAAAUCCUCCAAGCUGAAUAGAUCAAAAAUCUAAUGUUAGAGUGACAACUCAAACAAUCAAAAUCUUGACAAAAUGACCCAGAAUUUAUCUGAUCAACGAACCAAGUUACCCUGGGGAUAACAGCGCAAUCCAUUUCAAGAGCCCUUAUCGACAAAUGGGUUUACGACCUCGAUGUUGGAUCGGGAUAUCCUAGCAGCGCAGCCGUUGCUUAAGGUUCGUUUGUUCAACGAUUAACAAUCCC